ensembl:lncRNA
GAAGAUUAGAAAAGUAAAUGACCACACAGUUCAUCAAUUUAUUUAUGCGUUCAGUCGACCAGCAGGUCAAUAAACACAGGUGGGCUGUGGCUUACUCUUUUAGGCAGAAUGUAUGUAAAUCAGCAACAUGACCGGGUGAACUUGGACAGUGACUACCAGGUGGAUUUGGAUAAGGACAACCAGGUGGAUUUGGACAACGACAACCAGGUGGACUUGGAUAAGGACAACCAGGUGGACUUGGACAGCAACAACCAGGUGGAUUUGGAUAAGGACAACCAGGUGGACUUGGACAGGGACAACCAGGUGGACUUGGAUAAGGACAACCAGGUGGACUUGGACAGCAACAACCAGGUGGAUUUGGAUAAGGACAACCAGGUGGACUUGGACAGGGACAACCAGGUGGACUUGGAUAAGGACAACCAGGUGGACUUGGACAGGGGCAACCUGAUGGGUUGUGUUGCAGAGACAAAU